CCUGACAAGCAGUGCAGGGAAGCACGGCGCCUGCCAGCAGGACAGGACAGGACAGGAAGGGGCAGGGGCUACCGGGCUGCCUCUGAGCAUGGUCAUGGGUUCCAGCCGAAUUACUCUAAAGAUCAAGCAUUCUGCCUUCUAUUUCCUAUGAUGGCCAGAGUUUCCUGUGCUAAGAGGAAACAGAGCAUUUCACUCAAAGGCGACUCUGCACUGGGUGAGGUGCAGCCUGUCACCUGACCAGCUCUGGAGCUGCCAGUGGCAUCAGGCUGCAUUCUUUGAAUUCUUCACCCAGCACUACCGCCACCGCAAUGAACAACUUCAGGUUCACUGAGCUGAGGGGAUUCCAUCUGCUGUGCCCUCGGAGUCCGCUGCCCGAGUCUCGCGCCCAGGCUCAAAACCUAUAGCUGAGUAACAGCAAGCUGCCUGCCUUUGAGGAGUAGCACGCAGAGAGUGUCAAAGAAGACCUCAAAUUCUGGAGAAAAAUGACCUUUCAAGGACUACAAAGUAUAUACUUCCUGCUGCAUGUUUCUGUCUUACUAACCUGUGAUAACUGAAACACAUGGUCCUGGGGCUGCCGAAGGUCAAUUGCUUAUCAGAUUUCCCAUCAUGCAUCAGCUGUUCAGACUGGUUUUAGGACAAAAAGAUCUUUCCCGCGCCGGGGACCUCUUCUCUUUAGAUGACUCUGAGAUUGAAGACAGCCUGACAGAAGCUCUGGAACAAAUUAAAAUAAUUAGCUCAUCUUCCGAUUACCAAACCAAUAACAAUGACCAGGCAGUGGUUGAAAUCUGUAUCACGCGAAUCACAACAGCCAUCAGAGAGACAGAGUCCAUUGAAAAGCAUGCCAAGGCCCUCGUGGGGCUCUGGGACUCCUGCUUGGAACACAACCUGAGACCCUCUGGGAAAGACGAAGACACUCCGCAUGCAAAAAUUGCUUCUGAUAUCAUGAGUUGCAUUUUACAGAAUUACAACCGGCCCCCUGUGAUGGCGUUAGCCAUCCCCAUAGCAGUGAAAUUCCUCCACAGAGGCAACAAGGAACUGUGCAGGAAUAUGUCCAACUACCUGUCCCUGGCUGCAAUCACCAAGGCAGAUCUUCUGGCUGAUCACACAGACGUUAUAGUAAAGAGCAUACUCCAAGGUAAUGCCAUGUUGUUGAGGGUGUUACCUGCUGUGUAUGAAAAGCAGCCUCAGCCAAUUAACAGACACCUGACAGAACUCCUGGCCUUGAUGUCUCAGCUGGAACAACCAGAACAGUACCAUCUUCUACGGCUUUUACAUGUAGCUGCAAAGAGAAAGCAACCAGAGGUGGUUCAGAAGUGUAUUCCUUUCCUAAUCAGGCAUUUGAAAGACUCAACCCAUAAUGAUGUCAUCCUAAACAUCCUCAUAGAGAUAGCAGGCUAUGAACCUGUGGCUUUGAACAGUUUUCUUCCAAUGCUGAAAGAGAUUGGUGAGAGAUUCCCCUACCUCAUCGGACAAAUGGCGAGAAUCUAUGGAGCUGUGGGGCAUGUGGAUGAAGAGAGAGCCAGGAGCUGCCUGCCAUUCCUGGUGAGUCAGCUGGCCAACAUGGAACAUUCGUUUCAUCAUAUUCUCCUGCUGGAGAUUAAGAGCAUCACUGAUGCUUUCUCCUCCAUCCUGGGCCCUCAGAGCAGAGAUAUCUUCCGCAUGAGCAACAGCUUCACUGCCAUUGCCAAGCUUCUUACCCAACAACUGGAAACUACCAAGGCCAGAAGCAGCAGGAGAAAACCCAGCAAUGAAAUUGAAUUCCCUGAGAAGCUGGAAGAAAUCAAGUUCACUGUAGCUGAAGAUGAAGACCAUGAAAAGCUCCAAGUUAAAAUACAGGCUUUUGAAGACAAAAUAAAUGCUGAGAGCAAUACUCCUAGCUCUAUAAGAAGAUAUAGUUUGGGCCAAUUUUCUAAGGAAGAAAGAAAAGACAUUAGAUUUAACAGGUCAAAGAGUUUGGCUUUGCACACUGUGCUAACAAAGAGCAUGAGUUCAGAUGAUGGGGAAAUUGUAGAGAGUGGAGAUAUGCCAGCUAGGAUCAUUCCUUCAGAAACAGAUCCACUUAGCCAAGGAAACGACAAGUUGCCCUUUAAGGCAAACUCUGACAGAUCACAGCUGAGAAAUUCUUCAGUUUCACACCCAAGCAUUAUACAUACAGAAUCAGAGAAUUUGCCAGAAACAGUUAAAGAAAACUGCCAGGAAGAAACUCCAGAAACAACUGCAAGUCCUGUAGAAUGCCAAGAUAAGCUCUACUUGCACUUAAAGGAAAAUUUCAGUAAAGUAAAGGCAUACGCUGUGGAAAUCGGAAAGAAGAUUCCAAUCCCUGAUCAGUGUACCAUUGAAGAAUCUGUUAGAAGUUGUGUAGCAAAGUUGUUCUUUACCUGCUCCUUGAAGGGUCAUUACUGCCUCUACAGUAAAUCCAGUUUUAUUCUCAUCAGCCAAGAGCCUCAGCCAUGGAUCCAGAUCAUGUUCCUCUUUCAGCAGAGCCUGUUUCCUGAGCCACUGUCUAUACAGAGUCAUUCUGUACAAUUCCUCAGAGAUCUGUGGGAGAAGACCCAGGCAGAUGGUGCUCACAGCUUUGAAACAGCCAUGAUGGAGUCCACAUUUCCACAGCAGAAGGAUCUGGACCAGGUACAGCUCCAUCUGGAAGAAGUGAGAUUCUUUGAUGUAUUUGGCUUCAGCGAAGCAGCAGGAGCAUGGCAAUGCUUCAUGUGCAACAACCCCGAGAAAGCGACCGUUGUAAACCAAGAUGGCCAGCCUCUCAUAGAAGGAAAACUUAAAGAGAAGCAAGUCAGAUGGAAGUUCAUCAAAAGGUGGAAAACUCGUUAUUUUACGCUGGCCGGAAAUCAACUUCUGUUUCAAAAAGGAAAGUCUCAACAAAAUGAAACCCAGCCUCAUCUACAUGUUGAUCUCUUCCUUUAUUGGAUAAAACAUUUAGUGGCUGCUUUGCAAGACUCGUGGACCUGUAGUCAUUUCUCCAGUGAUGGCUCUUCGGUUCCCUGAUGCCAUAUUUCAUCCCACCCUUCUAUUUCUUUGCCUCUCUAUGUACAUGAUAACUUUUUGUCUCAAAAUCAAAUGAUCUUAUUAUUUUCAAGACAUGCUAAAUAGCAAUUAACAUGUGUAGUGUCGACCAUGCACGUAACUCAAUUGAAGUAACAACACAGAGAACUGGGACCAAGUUUGAGUGACACCCAGUCAUAGUCAUUCCUGGUGGAUUACAACUGCAAAACACACUGAUUAUCAGGCACAUCCCAAUUUCAGAACUUAAAAUAUGGGAGAAAAAAUCUAAAUAAAUGAGCAAAAGUAUUAAUUUAAGAGUUCUACAUGCAUUUGUUUCACAGUUAUCAAAACUGUAUAUAAAAGUUUUUUUGUGAACAGUAAAGCAUAUUACAAAGGUAUUUUUUGUAUUUAAAAAUGGUUAUAAUUUGCCCAAUACAUCCAUUCUCAAAGGUAUGAGAUCAGCCAUUUCUGUGAAUAUUUACCUUCUGUAUUACUGGAGAUCUCCAGAGAAAAUAGAACAAAUAGGAUAUAUAGAGAAUGAUCUAUAAGAGGGGAUUUAUUAUAGGAAUUGCCUCACAUGGUUACAGAGGGCAAGAAGCCCACAAUCUGCCAUCUGCAAGCUGGAGACCCAGGAAAGACAGUGGUGUCAUUCUGUCCAAGUCAAAAGUCCUGGGAACCAGGGAGCCACUGGUUUUGGUCCUGGAGUCUGGAGGCCCAAGAACCAGGAGUUAUGAUGUCAAAGAGCAGAAGAAGAUGUACAUCCCAGCUCAAGAAGAGAGAAAGAAUCCUCCCUUCCUUUGCCAUCUUGUUCCAUUCAGGCCCCCAGUGAUGCCCACCCAAAUCAGAUUGGAGAGCAUGGAGGUGAAAUUAGGAUGGUGUGUAAGGAGGAAUUCCAGACCAAGAGGAGGAGCAUUUCCAGAAGAGGCUCUCAAGGUCAAUGAUACCAGAGACAAAAGGAGGGAGGAAAAGCAUCUGAUGACGUUGUAAGCUGGGGAACUAGAGAAGAGCAGAGGGAGGCACAAGGCAGAGCAGGUGGAACUGAUGAGGGCUUUAGGACCUUUAAAGGAAGACACUAAUUCCCAGGGCCGGCUUUUCUUAGGCACUUGCCCAGGUGAAGAGAGCUCUGGUCAAUGUCCUAUAUACCAGAUCAUGUAAGGCCCUCUAGCUGUGGACUUGGCAAAACAGGCAACCAGCUCCCCCAAAGGCCUUACAGAGCCUGGUCCUGCCACGAGACCCCAGCCUUGCAGGGCACGUUCCAUAUUGACAUUCUUCUCAUUCUAUACCCCCAACCCAGUACAUAUUGAACUUGUCUACUUCAAAGAAAAACUUUCUGAUGGUAUGGGGAGGGGGAGCUGGAAAUUCUGAAACCUUAUUAUGCAUUUUUCUGUAAGAAUAUAAUCAGACACAUUGUGUUUACACAGUUCCUUAUGCCUUUAUGGGCAAACCUUUUUAAAUUUUGAAUCCAAUAGAAAGAAAAUGCAUUUCCUCUGUCUUGCGAUCAAUGAAAUGAUUAAGAUUCACUUUGGUACUGAGAACCGAGAAGAGUUAAAAGAAGUCAAAUAAUGUAAAGAUAUAAAGUACUCAAACAAGUGA